GAUGAACGCUGGCGGCGUGCCUAAUACAUGCCAGUCGAGCGAACGGACGAGAAGCUUGCUUCUCUGAUGUUAGCGGCGGACGGGUGAGUAACACGUGGAUAACCUACCUAUAAGACUGGGAUAACUUCGGGAAACCGUAGCUAAUACCGGAUAAUAUUUUGAACCGCAUGGUUCAAAAGUGAAAGACGGUCUUGCUGUCACUUAUAGAUGGAUCCGCGCUGCAUUAGCUAGUUGGUAAGGUAACGGCUUACCAAGGCAACGAUGCAUAGCCGACCUGAGAGGGUGAUCGGCCACACUGGAGCUGAGACGCGGUCCAGACUCCUACGGGAGGCAGCAGUAGGGAAUCUUCCGCAAUGGGCGAAAGCCUGACGGAGCAACGCCGCGUGAGUGAUGAAGGUCUUCGGAUCGUAAAACUCUGUUAUUAGGGAAGAACAUAUGUGUAAGUAACUGUGCACAUCUUGACGGUACCUAAUCAGAAAGCCACGGCUAACUACGUG
rnacentral:rRNA from 1 species